AACGAACGCUGGCGGCAUGCCUAACACAUGCAAGUCGAGCGAGACCUUCGGGUCUAGUGGCGCACGGGUGCGUAACGCGUGGGAACCUGCCCUUAGGUUCGGAAUAACUCCCCGAAAGGGGUGCUAAUACCGGAUAAUGUCUUCGGACCAAAGAUUUAUCGCCUUUGGAUGGGCCCGCGUUGGAUUAGCUAGUUGGUGGGGUAAAAGCCUACCAAGGCGACGAUCCAUAGCUGGUCUGAGAGGAUGAUCAGCCACACUGGGACUGAGACACGGCCCAGACUCCUACGGGAGGCAGCAGUGGGGAAUAUUGGACAAUGGGCGAAAGCCUGAUCCAGCAAUGCCGCGUGAGUGAUGAAGGCCUUAGGGUUGUAAAGCUCUUUUACCCGGGAUGAUAAUGACAGUACCGGGAGAAUAAGCUCCGGCUAACUCCGUG
rnacentral:rRNA from 1 species